UACGGGGGGGGUAAGCGUUGUUCGGAAUUACUGGGCGUAAAGGGUUCGUAGGCGGCCAACUAAGUCAUCCGUGAAAUCCCUCAGCUUAACUGGGGAACUGCGUGUGAUACUGGAUGGCUUGGAUGUGGGAGAGGGAUGCGGAAUUCCAGGUGUAGCGGUGAAAUGCGUAGAUAUCUGGAGGAACACCGGUGGCGAAGGCGGCAUCCUGGACCAUUAUUGACGCUGAGGAGCGAAAGCCAGGGGAGCAAACGGG
rnacentral:rRNA from 1 species